rnacentral:rRNA from 1 species
AUUGAACGCUGGCGGCAUGCCUUACACAUGCAAGUCGAACGGUAACGGGCCUUCGGGUGCCGACGAGUGGCGAACGGGUGAGUAAUACAUCGGAACGUGCCCGAUCGUGGGGGAUAACGAGGCGAAAGCUUUGCUAAUACCGCAUACGAUCUACGGAUGAAAGCAGGGGACCGCAAGGCCUUGCGCGGACGGAGCGGCCGAUGGCAGAUUAGGUAGUUGGUGGGAUAAAAGCUUACCAAGCCGACGAUCUGUAGCUGGUCUGAGAGGAUGAUCAGCCACACUGGGACUGAGACACGGCCCAGACUCCUACGGGAGGCAGCAGUGGGGAAUUUUGGACAAUGGGCGCAAGCCUGAUCCAGCCAUGCCGCGUGCAGGAUGAAGGCCUUCGGGUUGUAAACUGCUUUUGUAUGGAACGAAAAGCCUUCUUUUAAUACAGGAGGGUCAUGACGGUACCGUAAGAAUAAGCACCGGCUAACUACGUG